rnacentral:rRNA from 1 species
GCAAGUCGAACGGCAGCACGGGAGCAAUCCUGGUGGCGAGUGGCGAACGGGUGAGUAAUAUAUCGGAACGUGCCCAGUCGUGGGGGAUAACGUAGCGAAAGCUACGCUAAUACCGCAUACGAUCUAUGGAUGAAAGCGGGGGAUCGCAAGACCUCGCGCGAUUGGAGCGGCCGAUAUCAGAUUAGGUAGUUGGUGAGGUAAAGGCUCACCAAGCCGACGAUCUGUAGCUGGUCUGAGAGGACGACCAGCCACACUGGGACUGAGACACGGCCCAGACUCCUACGGGAGGCAGCAGUGGGGAAUUUUGGACAAUGGGCGCAAGCCUGAUCCAGCAAUGCCGCGUGCAGGAUGAAGGCCUUCGGGUUGUAAACUGCUUUUGUACGGAACGAAACGGUGAGCUCUAAUACAAUUUGCUAAUGACGGUACCGUAAGAAUAAGCACCGGCUAACUACGUG